AAUGUUAACUAAAGGGAUGAUGUUUACAUUGAGACCCAAGAAAAGGAUUCUGAGUUUCAGAGCUCUGAAUGAACCACUUUGUCCCCGACCUUCAAAAAGAGUAU
ensembl:snoRNA